rnacentral:rRNA from 1 species
UACGAGGGGUGCAAGCGUUGCUCGGAAUUAUUGGGCGUAAAGGGCAUGUAGGUGGUCUCAUUUGUCCGGGGUGAAAGCCUUGAGCUUAACUCAAGAAGUGCCCCGGAAACGGUGAGACUCGAGUAUUGGAGAGGGUCGUGGAAUUCCCGGUGUAGCGGUGAAAUGCGCAGAUAUCGGGAAGAACACCCGUGGCGAAGGCGGCUCUCUGGGACGGUACUGACGCUGAGACGCGAAAGCCUGGGGAGCGAACAGG